rnacentral:rRNA from 1 species
GAUGAACGCUGGCGGCGUGCUUAACACAUGCAAGUCGAACGGAAAGGCUCCUGCUUGCAGGGGUACUCGAGUGGCGAACGGGUGAGUAACACGUGGGUGAUCUGCCCUGCACUUCGGGAUAAGCCUGGGAAACUGGGUCUAAUACCGGAUAGGACGAUGGUUUGGAUGCCAUUGUGGAAAGUUUUUCGGUGUGGGAUGAGCUCGCGGCCUAUCAGCUUGUUGGUGGGGUAAUGGCCUACCAAGGCGUCGACGGGUAGCCGGCCUGAGAGGGUGUACGGCCACAUUGGGGCUGAGAUACGGCCCAGACUCCGACGGGAGGCAGCAGUGGGGAAUAUUGCACAAUGGGCGCAAGCCUGAUGCAGCGACGCCGCGUGGGGGAUGACGGCCUUCGGGUUGUAAACUCCUUUCGCUAGGGACGAAGCGUUUUGUGACGGUACCUGGAGAAGAAGCACCGGCUAACUACGUG